CAAACUUUAUCUUAAAAAAAGUAUUUUAUUUACAUUAAAAUUAUCAUUUUCGAAUGUUGUUUGA
rnacentral:tRNA from 1 species